rnacentral:misc_RNA from 1 species
AAAGUCGUAACAAGGUUUCCGUAGGUGAACCUGCGGAAGGAUCAUUACAAAUCUCUGUAUGGCUUAUGCUGUACGUUAACGCGGGACGCAAGUCUCGACGUGUACUCGUUUAUGUUUUUGACUGUUUCUAGUAGUGAUACAAAUAAAAUAAAAGACAACUUUUAACAAUGGAUCUCUAGGCUCUU